UGCAAGCUCCUUUAAUACCCUCC
rnacentral:piRNA from 1 species